AUAGAGACUCAGAGCUGCAUAUCAAUAAGCGGAGGAAAAGAAACUAACAUAGGAUUCCCUUAGUAACGGCGAGUGAAGCGGGAAGAGCUCAAAUUUGAAAUCUUCAAGGGUUCUACCUUUACGAAUUGUAGUUUAAAGAAGUGUUUUCUGUUAGGAGUUAGGUAAAAGUUCCUUGGAAUAGGACAUCAUAGAGGGUGAGAAUCCCGUAUUUGACCAGUUACUUUCCAGCUGUGUGAUACACUUUCAAAGAGUCGGAUUGUUUGGGAAUGCAGUCCAAAAUGGGUGGUAAAUUUCAUCUAAAGCUAAAUAUUGGCGAGAGACCGAUAGCGAACAAGUACCGUGAGGGAAAGAUGAAAAGAACUUUGAAAAGAGAGUUAAACAGUACGUGAAAUUGUCAAAAGGGAAGCGUUUGACACCAGUGUUGUUUUUCCGAAAAUCAAUUACGAAUGGCUUGAUUUUGUGUUGUAUUGACCUUAUCAGCUUUCUGCACUUUUUUCAAGUCUUUCUUAAUGCACUUUUCGGUUAACAAGUCAACAUCAAUUUCUUUUGUUGUAAAAGAGUAUUCGGAAGGUGGCUUUCUUUUCGGAGAAAGUGUUUAUAGCCCUAUACUUCUACAAUCGGAGAGAUUGAGGUCUGCAGCGUAGAUCCUUCGGGGUUAGAUACACUUGUGCUAAGUUGUAGCUUUUCAUAGACAACUUGUUGACUAUGUUUAGUCAUGCGGCUUACUCGCUUGUGCUAUUUUACCUACGCUUAGGAUGUUGAAGUCAUCGUAUCGCGC
rnacentral:rRNA from 1 species